CACGUAGGGGGCGAGCGUUGUCCGGAAUCAUUGGGCGUAAAGAGCUCGUAGGCGGUUCGUUAAGUCAGAUGUGAAAGCCCUCGGCUCAACCGAGGAAGUGCAUCUGAAACUGGCGAGCUAGAGUACUAAAGAGGGUCGCGGAAUUCCCGGUGUAGAGGUGAAAUUCGUAGAUAUCGGGGAGGAACACCGGUGGCGAAGGCGGCGACCUGGGUAGAUACUGACGCUGAGGUGCGAAAGCGUGGGGGAGCAAACAGG
rnacentral:rRNA from 1 species